GAUGAAGAACGUAGUGAAAUGCGAUAAGUAAUGUGAAUUGCAGAAUUCAGUGAAUCAUCGAAUCUUUGAACGCACCUUGCGCCCUUUGGCUAUUCCGAAGGGCAUGCCUGUUUGAGUAUCAUGAACACCUCAACUCUUUAUGGUUUUCCAUGAAGGGCUUGGACUUUGGGGGUCUUGCUGGCCUUUAGUCAGCUCCUCUCAAACGAAUCAGCUUUCCAGUGUUUGGCAGCGUCACAGGUGUGAUAACUAUCUACGCGUGUGGUUUUCUGCCAGGUAAUCCUCAGUGAUGGGGAUUCGCUGGGGCUUAUAAAUGUCUCUCCUCAGCGAAGACAGCUUUGUGAACGUUUGAUCUCAAAUCAGGUAGGACUACCCGCUGAACUUAAGCAUAUCAAUAAGCGGAGGA
rnacentral:misc_RNA from 1 species